AUAUUUACCUGGCAGAUAAAAGGCUAUGAUCACAAAGGAGAGGCUUAUCCAUUGCACUCAAGAUGUGCUGACUCUGUGAUUUCCCCAAAUGUGGGUAAUUCGACUGCAUAAUUUAUGUAGUAGAGGACUAUGUUCUUGUUCUCCCUUG
rnacentral:snRNA from 1 species